UGCAAGUCGAGCGAACUGAUUAGAAGCUUGCUUCUAUGACGUUAGCGGCGGACGGGUGAGUAACACGUGGGCAACCUGCCUGUAAGACUGGGAUAACUUCGGGAAACCGAAGCUAAUACCGGAUAGGAUCUUCUCCUUCAUGGGAGAUGAUUGAAAGAUGGUUUCGGCUAUCACUUACAGAUGGGCCCGCGGUGCAUUAGCUAGUUGGUGAGGUAACGGCUCACCAAGGCAACGAUGCAUAGCCGACCUGAGAGGGUGAUCGGCCACACUGGGACUGAGACACGGCCCAGACUCCUACGGGAGGCAGCAGUAGGGAAUCUUCCGCAAUGGACGAAAGUCUGACGGAGCAACGCCGCGUGAGUGAUGAAGGCUUUCGGGUCGUAAAACUCUGUUGUUAGGGAAGAACAAGUACAAGAGUAACUGCUUGUACCUUGACGGUACCUAACCAGAAAGCCACGGCUAACUACGUGCCAGCAGCCGCGGUAAUACGUAGGUGGCAAGCGUUAUCCGGAAUUAUUGGGCGUAAAGCGCGCGCAGGCGGUUUCUUAAGUCUGAUGUGAAAGCCCACGGCUCAACCGUGGAGGGUCAUUGGAAACUGGGGAACUUGAGUGCAGAAGAGAAAAGCGGAAUUCCACGUGUAGCGGUGAAAUGCGUAGAGAUGUGGAGGAACACCAGUGGCGAAGGCGGCUUUUUGGUCUGUAACUGACGCUGAG
rnacentral:rRNA from 2 species